rnacentral:rRNA from 1 species
UACAUAGGGGGCGAGCUUGUCCGGAUUUAUUGGGCGUAAAGAGCGUGUAGGCGGCCAGGUAGGUCUGCUGUGAAAACGUCGACGGCUCAACCUCGAGACGUGGCGGAAACCAUCUGGCUAGAGUCCGGAAAGAGGAGAGUGGAAUUUCCUGGUGUAGCGGUGAAAUGCGCAGAUAUCAGGAAGAACACCCUGGGCGAAGGC